rnacentral:rRNA from 1 species
GACGAACGCGUGGCGGCGUGCCCUAACGACACUGGCAAGUCGAACGGAGUUAAGUGCUUCGGCAUUUAACUUAGUGGCGGAACGGUGAGUAACGCGUGAGAAACCUGCCUUUCAGUGGGGGGCAACAGUUGGAAACGACUGCUAAUACCGCAUGAUACUUUUUGGGGGCACCCCCGAAAAGUCAAAGCUUUAUGUGCUGAAAGAUGGUCUCGCGUCUGAUUAGCUAGUUGGUGAGGUAAUGGCUCACCAAGGCGACGAUCAGUAGCCGGUCUGAGAGGAUGAACGGCCACAUUGGGACUGAGAUACGGCCCAG